UACGAAGGGGGCUAGCGUUGCUCGGAAUCACUGGGCGUAAAGGGUGCGUAGGCGGGUUUUUAAGUCAGGGGUGAAAUCCUGGAGCUCAACUCCAGAACUGCCUUUGAUACUAAAGAUCUUGAGUUCGGGAGAGGUGAGUGGAACUGCGAGUGUAGAGGUGAAAUUCGUAGAUAUUCGCAAGAACACCAGUGGCGAAGGCGGCUCACUGGCCCGAUACUGACGCUGAGGCACGAAAGCGUGGGGAGCAAACAGGG
rnacentral:rRNA from 1 species